GGUGAACGCUGGCGGCGUGCCUAAUACAUGCCAGUCGAGCGAACAGACGAGGAGCUUGCUCCUCUGACGUUAGCGGCGGACGGGUGAGUAACACGUGGAUAACCUACCUAUAAGACUGGGAUAACUUCGGGAAACCGGAGCUAAUACCGGAUAAUAUAUUGAACCGCAUGGUUCAAUAGUGAAAGACGGUUUUGCUGUCACUUAUAGAUGGAUCCGCGCCGCAUUAGCUAGUUGGUAAGGUAACGGCUUACCAAGGCAACGAUGCGUAGCCGACCUGAGAGGGUGAUCGGCAACACUGGAACUGAGACACGGUCCAGACUCCUACGGGAGGCAGCAGUAGGGAAUCUUCCGCAAUGGGCGAAAGCCUGACGGAGCAACGCCGCGUGAGUGAUGAAGGUCUUCGGAUCGUAAAACUCUGUUAUUAGGGAAGAACAAAUGUGUAAGUAACUAUGCACGUCUUGACGGUACCUAAUCAGAAAGCCACGGCUAACUACGUG
rnacentral:rRNA from 1 species